rnacentral:rRNA from 1 species
CAUUAUUGAAUAAAUCUGGUUGGGUUGUUGCUGGCUCUUAGGAGCAUGUGCACACUCACUCCAUUUCCUUAACAACCCUGUGCACACUGUGUAGUCCUAGAAGCUGUCGAGGAGACUCGGUCUGAGAACUGCUGUGGAAACCAGCUGUUCUUUUAUUUUAGGACUAUGUUUAAUAUACUCCAUAAAAUAUGUUAGAACUGUAAUAUCAAGGGCUUUCCAUGCCUUUUAAAACAAAUACAACUUUCAACAACGGAUCUCUUGGCUCUCGCAUCGAUGAAGAACGCAGCGAAAUGCGAUAAGUAAUGUGAAUUGCAGAAUUCAGUGAAUCAUCGAAUCUUUGAACGCACCUUGCACUCCUUGGUAUUCCGAGGAGUAUGCCUGUUUGAGUGUCAUGAAAUUCUCAACCUCUCUAGUUUAGUUUUUUAUAUUAAGCUGGGUCAGGCUUGGAUUAUGGAAGUUGCUGGCUACUUUUAUGAAAUCAGCUCUUCUUAAAUGCAUUAGCGAAGGUCCCUGCUGAUUGCCUUUGGUAUGAUAAUUAUCUAUACCAUCAAUUGGAAGGAUUUUGCUUAUAAUAGUAGUCUGUUGUGGACGUUACUUUGACAAACUUGACCUCAAAUCAGGUAGGACUACCCGCUGAACUUAAGCAUAUCAUUAAGCGGAGGAAAAGAAACUAACAAGGAUUCCCC